UGUUGCAGUCUGUUCCUUUCUAAAGAACUAUGGAUGGAUUUUGUUUAAAGGAAUGAAGACAGAAAUGUGUUUGUGCUCUCUGCUGCAUAUAGACAAAGACCUGCUGAUGAGACAUGGCAAGUACAUAUACAUCACCUUCCUACAGGUCUAAGAUAUGAAAAUCAGGCAUCCUUGGAGUAAGACCUGACAUAUGCUGUGGUACAGAGGAGCCUGAUGUCACUUCUGCUGAGGAAGUAUUGUCCUUGCACUGUGAAGGCUAGGCAUGAGAUAAAAACUACUGGCAAGUAUGAGAGCUAUUCUGUUGUGCUCAGAGUCCUCAUGCACUGAAGAGUAGCUGACUGUGCUCCUGACUAAGAGGUACUGAGUCUGUCUUGGGAGUACCCAGGUAUACUCUCAUAAAAAGAUUUGUACGUUCUGUAAGUUCCCUCCAGUGUUUUUGUUGUUGUUGUUUGUUUGUUUUUCAGAAUGCCUAUGGCUAUCUCUUUUUAAAUUACAGAAAGAUAUGGGCAAGAUUUAUGAUUUGGAUAAAAUGAGUGAAUUUUAGUCAUGAAGCACAGCUAUAAAAAGUGAAUAUGGAAAGAAUAUCCAUGCUGAGAAAAUUUAUCUGAAAGCUAAAUUAUCAAGUCCCAUCAUCAGAG
ensembl:lncRNA